UCAGUCUCCGUCAAUGCAAGGCUGGAAUCCAGCUGGGUGGUGCGCCUACGGGCUGCAACACGCUUUUUGGUGGCGAGUUUGAGGUCUGACCAACGUUACCUAGCAAGCCACCAUUUCUUAUUUAGUAGGCUAACUAACCUCGUUACAAACUGCGUUAUCACUUCAUCUCGACGAUCCUGCCCAUUGGCUACAGCCCCCCCAACCAGUAACCUGCUUGGCACUGGAACCUCUCCACCCACCAAAGCCUUUUCCCCUGAUCUGCCCUGAUCUCCUUGCCUGUCUGAACAGCUCAAUAUGUACCUAAUAGUACUCUUUGAGGAGGAAAAUAGAACUGACCCGGUGGCAAAGGAGUGGUUUUCGGAUGGGCUUGCCUGGUGGCCCCCUUAUAAGGACAAGGUCCAAAUUCUCAGAAGUGUCCAAAAGAGGAUUGUCCCACAACCAACGAAGGGAUGGAAGCAGUACGCUGCACGCAUGCUCUCCGAAUCAGGUCAUUUUCAACAUAGAGCCUUUAAUGCAAUUGAGUCUAAUAAGUUGCAUGAAUAACUUCUGAUGUUGUUCUGAUGUUUAGAUGUUGUUCUGAUAUUGUCACUUGUUACAUCAUUACAUACCCAUUAGUUGACGUAAUAGUUGAUGAAUAGUUGACAUGCUAAUUGGGGCUUACAGAUUCAAUUGACAAAUUUUGAGAGCGGUGGGAAAGGUCAUGUGUGACAUCAGACCUCAACACCAACAAAGAGUAAGAAGCCCAAACAAUCCGAAAACGGAAAAAGUGAGCACAUAUUUGUUUGUUGACUAUGAAAUCAUUUAACCUGACCUCAUUUUAAUCUGAGUUUUGUCUACAUCAGACCAAAUGUGUGAUUUUUUCGCAUGAGGAAAAUGUCUGGCAUAUACAGCAUUCUUUCUAUUGCAAAAUGUUAUGCAU